rnacentral:rRNA from 1 species
UACGGGGGGAGCAAGCGUUGUUCGGAAUCACUGGGCGUAAAGGGAGUCUAGGCGGUUUGGUAAGUGGGAUGUGAAAUCCCCGGGCUCACCCCGGGACCUGCAUCCCAAACUGCUGAGCUUGAGUACAGGAGAGGGUGGGGGAAUUCCAGGUGUAGCGGUGAAAUGCGUAGAUAUCUGGAGGAACACCGGUGGCGAAGGCGGCAUCCUGGACCAAUAUUGACGCUGAGGAGCGAAAGCCAGGGGAGCAAACGGG